rnacentral:lncRNA from 1 species
AGAAUAAUCGUGUCACGGUCAAAAUAUACCACCUAUCAUUGCAUACCACAUCUUCGGCACUCAAAUCGAGCAAUUGUAUAUUUAUAACGAAUCUCACACACACCUCAUCUCCCUCGUCGUCAAUGGCCACACAUGUUUUAAUUCAAAUUGUCAUCCCUACUGAGCACAAAUUGUCACCCUGCUUAAUACAAUUUGCCAUCUCUGAUGAGCACAAAUUGCCACCCCCACUUAAUACAAAUUGGCGUCUCUCAUGAAUACAAAAUUGUCACCGCUGUUUAAUUCAAUUGUCAUUCCUAAUGAGUACAAAUUGCCAACCCCGCUUA